GCGGGGCUGCGGGGUGCGUUUGGAGACAAAUCCCCGGGGCCUUACGAUCCCAACGGGAGCUGUCCCUGUCCUCGCCCCUGGGCUUGGGUACACGGCGCCCACCUACUUAUGUAGGUUCCCGGGAUCAGCGCUCCGACGGCUUGCGCGGCUCCGCA
rnacentral:other from 1 species